CCAGAAGAGACCCUAACCGGUCCUCUCAGCCCUGCCCAUCGUACCCUUUGUGUUGUUCCCUCGGCGAGGCUCGCGGGCCCGCCGGCGGGAAGAUCAACGAAACCCUUUGCAAGCAAGCAUCCUGAAAUCUCUGAUCGAAUACAAAUAGUCA
rnacentral:misc_RNA from 1 species